rnacentral:tRNA from 3 species
GGCAGGAUAGCAAAGUGGUUAAACGCAACGGACUGUAAAUCCGUUCUCUUCGGAGUUCGGGGGUUCAAAUCCCUCUUCUGCCACCA